CACAAACAGGAACGCGCACAGGUCUGGCUUCGCUGCCCUGCAGGGAACGGAUCGCGGCUGCUGGAGGGCUGCAACGGUGGAUCCGGGCGAGCGGUGGUCUCUUGGACUGACUGCGUUUCCUACUACCUACUGGGGCCUGGGUCACAACAGGGCUUGCGUGCCAGAGGUUCGCCAUACUAGACCUACAAGGUCCCUUCCAACUCUGUUAACCUGUAUCUGUAUCUACAGUACCUGUAUCUGAGGAAAUCUGUUUUCCAGGUGCUUUGGAGAAUAAUUUGAUCCCCUCUUCUUUGUGGCAGCCCCUCCAAUACUGGAAUACUGCUGUCAUGUCACCCCUAAUUCUUCUUUUCUUUAAUCUGCAACCUUAAACACUCCCAAGAGCCUUUUGGACCGGUUUCCCACGGAAAAGAAAACACCGAGAGCCACAAAACCUGGGUGGGCGUGGCCAACUCGAUGUCACUCACUUCUACUAGUCACAUGACCCACCCACCCACCCAGCCGGUCAUUAAAAAAUAUUGGAAACCAUAACAGCCGCAAGACUUUUGAUUGCUCAGUAUUGGAAGAAAGAAGAAUUACCUACAAUUGAAGAAUGGACACGCAAAGUAUCAAAUCUGGCAGAGAUGGCAAAAAUCUCCGCUUACUUGAAAGACUAUACACUAGAAAAAUAUAUUUUAGAAUGGAAAAUGUGGAUUGAUUAUAUUCAAAAUAAGUAUCAGAUAAAAAAAUAUCGAAUAGCAUAUGAGUAAAUUUAGGAAAUAUUUUGUAUUAGAUAUAUUUUUGAAGGAGAGGGGAAUUGAGAGUGUGACUAAGUGUGG